UGAUCUAUUUGGAUGUGUAUAAGAAGCUCAAGUGACGUUCUAGGUCAUCCAAAGCAUUCUGUAGUUUAGAACAUUUGACAACCAAGGCCUGCACAAUAUCCUCAGCGUCGAAACUUGCUCAAACAUGUUCAAAGAGGUUACCAAAUUGUCCUUGAUCUCAGAUCAAAUAAUGUACCAGGUCAGUCAUAACCGGUACAAGGCCCUUACUGCCGUGAGAUGACAAAGUGACGUAAACGCCACCAUGGUCAAUUUUCACUUUUCUUCAUAUUCAUAAUCUAUACCCUAAGAUACACCAGAAAACACUCUCUUCGUGAUAAAAA